GGGCCUGUGGUCUAGUCUGGAAUGACGCAGGACUUCGGAUCCUGAGAUCGGGGGUUCAAAUCCCUCCAGGUCCG
rnacentral:tRNA from 1 species